ACCCUCGUCCUUAGAUGAUUGGACUCUCUGCCUAACCUUCUAGAGCAUGAGACUCUUAAUCUCAAGGUUGUGGGUUUGAGCCCCACAUUGGGUG